rnacentral:rRNA from 1 species
UGGGGAAUAUUGCACAAUGGAGGAAACUCUGAUGCAGCGACGCCGCGUGAACGAUGAAGGCUUUCGAGUCGUAAAGUUCUGUCCUAGGGGACGAUAAUGACGGUACCCUAGGAGGAAGCCCCGGCUAACUACGUGCCAGCAGCCGCGGUAAUACGUAGGGGGCGAGCGUUGUCCGGAAUUAUUGGGCGUAAAGGGUUCGCAGGCGGCCUUUUAAGUCAGAUGUGAAAGCCCACGGCUUAACCGUGGUAAGCAUUUGAAACUGGAAGGCUUGAGUUAAGGAGAGGAAAGUGGAAUUCCUAGUGUAGCGGUGAAAUGCGUAGAUAUUAGGAGGAAUACCAGUGGCGAAGGCGACUUUCUGGACUUAUACUGACGCUGAGGAACGAAAGCGUGGGGAGCAAAC